AAAUUCAUAUUUAAAAUGGCUUCGGUAUAUCUAUAGAAAUUAAUAGUGUAAGUUAGGUUAUUUUUUAAUUGGCCCCUAUUUUUAUCAAUAUGCCGAAAGGCAGAAAAUCUCUUGAUUCAGGAUCCAAAAAUGCCUCUAAAUCUGAUUUAUCGGGGUCUUCCGAUCAAAAUGUCAAAAUAAUGAAAAAUGUUGAAUCAGGCGAUGAAGUCAAAAAAAAUCCACGGAAUCGUCGUUUAAUGGAGCGUGUAGAAAUGUUAGCCCGUCCAACCGCCAGGCGUUUACGUUGCUUGUGGGAUGAAAAGUGUGAUGUUCUUCCACCUGAAAGGAGGAACAAGAUCAAAAGUGCUUUGGAAGAAGAUUACUUCCUUAGUCCAGAACAAACUGAGCAAUAUUUCCAAGCAAUAAGUGGCUCGUCUAAACACUGGUCGGGUCCUGGUGGUAUGGUGAGUCGAAAGGAUCAAGCUGAUAAAGUACGUGAAUUAAGACAACGACAGAAGUGGCUUAUUAAUUUCAGUGCACAGGUGGCCUACCGUCUAUGCGAUUAUAUUGCGAAGGGGCAGAAGGAAAUAUUGGUGUCAAACAGGCUGAGAAGCAUUGCUGAUGUUGUAUUGGAACGUGUGGCUGAAAUUUUAGGUGAACCGAAGCCAGCUCGCACGGACCCUGGUCGUCUCGCCCGUUUUAUGGUAGCUAUAUCAGAUCGCAUAGCUGUAUGGAUUGAAAAUGCCGUGUACCGAGCUGAUGCCAUCGAGCCCAAAGAGUCCAGUAUUGACGAGCAUAUGCGCCUGGACACGGAAAAACCUCUCAUCUGUUAAAGCAUAUGAACCAUGACAUCUUUCACUAUAUCCAUAAAAUCAAUAUUUAUCAGGUUAUCUUCGCUCUGUGCUGCCUGGCUCUUGCCACAGCUGCUCCUCAGUUCAUCUGGCCCGGCUUUAACACUGUACCUAGGG